GUGAGAGCAAGACUGGUGAUGUCAGAGAUGUCGUUGUCAUACCAAAUUUAACCAUGUGAGUGUAGGUAAGAAAAAAAAAUAUACAAAGAAACAAUUAGCUCUAUAAGAUAUAAGUGGAGACCAAGUAAGAAGAAGACUGGAUCGACAGAAAGUGGGGUGAGUUAUGUGAGAACAGAAAUGAUCAAAGAGCAUAAUUCAGUGAUAGUUUCAGUCAUAAAAAGGAGGCGG